rnacentral:misc_RNA from 1 species
GAUGAAGAACGCAGUGAAACGCGAUAGUUAAUGUGAAUUGCAGAAUUCAGUGAAUCAUCGAGUCUUUGAACGCACAUUGCGCCCCCUGGUAUUCCGGGGGGCAUGCCUGUCCGAGCGUCAUUGCUGCCCAUCAAGCGCGGCUUGUGUGUUGGGCCGCCGUCCGCCUUCCCCCCCGGGGGGAGGGGGACGGGCCCGAAAGGCAGCGGCGGCACCGCGUCCGGUCCUCGAGCGUAUGGGGCUCUGUCACCCGCUCUGGAGGCCCGGCCGGCGCCCGCCGACCCCCAACCUUCUUCUAACCAGGUUGACCUCGGAUCAGGUAGGGAUACCCGCUGAACUUAAGCAUAUCAAUAAGCGGAGGA